rnacentral:rRNA from 1 species
CAGUCGCCGCGGUAAAACGUAGGUGGCGAGCGUUGUCCGGAAUCAUUGGGCGUAAAGGGAGCGCAGGCGGGCAUGUAAGUCUUUCUUAAAAGUUCGGGGCUCAACCCCGUGAUGGGAAAGAAACUACAUGUCUUGAGUACAGGAGAGGAAAGCGGAAUUCCCAGUGUAGCGGUGAAAUGCGUAGAUAUUGGGAGGAACACCAGUGGCGAAGGCGGCUUUCUGGACUGCAACUGACGCUGAGGCUCGAAAGCCAGGGGAGCGAACAGGAUUAGAUACCCCCGUAGUCCCUGUCUCUUAUACA